AUACGGAGGGUGCAAGCGUUAUCCGGAAUUACUGGGUUUAAAGGGUGCGUAGGCGGUCCUAUCAGUCAGAGGUGAGAUGCCGUAGCUUAACUAUGGAGUUGCCUUUGAUACUGUAGGACUUGAAUCAGGUUGAGGUCAGCGGAAUGUGACAUGUAGCGGUGAAAUGCAUAGAUAUGUCAUAGAACACCAAUUGCGAAGGCAGCUGGCUGGACCUGUAUUGACGCUGAGGCACGAAAGCGUGGGGAGCGAACAGGAUUAGAUACCCUGGUAGUCCACGCCCUAAACGAUGCUCACUCGACGUUGGCCAAUUAUAGGUCAGCGUCCAAGCGAAAGCGUUAAGUGAGCCACCUGGGGAGUACGUUCGCAAGAAUGAA
rnacentral:rRNA from 1 species